rnacentral:rRNA from 1 species
UACAGAGGUCUCAAGCGUUGUUCGGAUUCAUUGGGCGUAAAGGGUGCGUAGGCGGCGUGGUAAGUCGGGUGUGAAAUCUCGGAGCUUAACUCCGAAACUGCAUUCGAUACUGCCGUGCUUGAGGACUGGAGAGGAGACUGGAAUUUACGGUGUAGCGGUGAAAUGCGUAGAUAUCCUAAGGAACACCGGUGGCGAAAGCGGCUCACUGGAUCUUAUCUGACGCUGAGGCACGAAAGCCAGGGUAGCGAACGGG